rnacentral:rRNA from 1 species
UACCAGCACCCCGAGUGGUCGGGACGAUUAUUGGGCCUAAAGCAUCCGUAGCCGGUUCUACAAGUCUUCCGUUAAAUCCACCUGCUUAACAGAUGGGCUGCGGAGGAUACUAUGGAGCUAGGAGGCGGGAGAGGCAAGCGGUACUCGAUGGGUAGGGGUAAAAUCCGUUGAUCCAUUGAAGACCACCAGUGGCGAAGGCGGCUUGCCAGAACGCGCUCGACGGUGAGGGAUGAAAGCUGGGGGGAGCAAACCGG